rnacentral:rRNA from 1 species
UACGUAGGGCGCAAGCGUUAUCCGGAAUUAUUGGGCGUAAAGAGCUCGUAGGCGGUUUGUCGCGUCUGCCGUGAAAGUCCGGGGCUCAACUCCGGAUCUGCGGUGGGUACGGGCAGACUAGAGUGAUGUAGGGGAGACUGCAAUUCCUGGUGUAGCGGUGAAAUGCGCAGAUAUCAGGAGGAACACCGAUGGCGAAGGCAGGUCUCUGGGCAUUAACUGACGCUGAGGAGCGAAAGCAUGGGGAGCGAACAGG